rnacentral:rRNA from 1 species
ACCACAACGGGUGGAGCCUGCGGUUUAAUUGGACUCAACGCCGGGCAGCUCACCGGAUAAGACAGCUGGAUGAUAGCCGGGCUGAAGACUCUGCUUGACUAGCUGAGAGGAGGUGCAUGGCCGUCGUCAGUUCGUACUGUGAAGCAUCCUGUUAAGUCAGGCAACGAGCGAGACCCACGCCAACAGUUGCCAGCAUGUCCUCCGGGAUGAUGGGGACACUGUUGGGACCGCCUCUGCUAAAGAGGAGGAAGGAAUGGGCAACGGUAGGUCAGCAUGCCCCGAAUUAUCCGGGCUACACGCGGGCUACAAUGGUCAGGACAAUGGGUAUCGACACCGAGAGGUGGAGGCAAUCUCCUAAACCUGUCCUUAGCUCGGAUUGUGGGCUGCAACUCGCCCACAUGAAGCUGGAAUCCGUAGUAAUCGCGUUUCAAAAUAGCGCGGUGAAUAUGUCCCUGCUCCUU